GGUGCCAUUAUUAUUUAACACAUUGUUUCAUUUUAUAAGUAAUUAAUUUAUUAUUUAUUUAUUUAUUUAUAGAGUCAGAGUUUGGCUCUGUCACCUAGGCUGGAGUACAGUGGUGUGAUCACAGCUAACUGGAACCCUCAAACUCCUGGGCUCAAGGUAUCCUUCUGCCUCAGCCUUCCAAGUAACUAGAACAGUCGGUGUGUGCCAUCAUGCCCAGCUAUUUUUCUGUUUUUUUCCUUUGGUGGAAAGAGUCUUGCCACAUUGCUCAGGCUGGUCUCAAACUCGUGGCCUGAAGCUAUCCUUCCAACUUGGCUUCCCAAAGUGCUGAGAUUACAGGCAUUAGCCACUGCAGUUGGCCUCAUUUUAUUAGUUUUAGUUAUUGUAAAUAACACAUGCAGAUGUCCUUCAUCUUUAUCAAAUGACAGUAUGCGUGAAAUAGUCUGAACACAAAAGUGCUCUAUGGAGUUCAUUAGUCUUUCUCUUUAUGCUAAAUAGGUACUAAAAAUUAAAAGCUUAUGUAACUUCAAAA
rnacentral:lncRNA from 1 species